rnacentral:pre_miRNA from 1 species
ACCCAACAGGGUGUGAUAUGAGAACACAUAUAUAAGAUGCAACAACAUGUAGUACUUGGUAUUUUAUUAUGUGUUCUCAGGUCGCCCCUGCAGGGUUUUC